GGAGCAUCUCUGGCUCCUUCCAUAAUCGAAGGGCUUCCAGCGUAGGGCGUAGGGGGAGAGGCCCGAAGCCCUGGAGACAGCGCCCGAGGGAUGGAGGCCGCGCUCGGCUGCGCUCAGGUCCGGGUGGCUCCGGGAGCUGAGACCCCGCAGGAUGCAGCGGGGGGGGGCCAGGGCCUGAUCCCCUACCCCUGCGAGCCAGGGCCGCCUACGCCCCCACUGCUUCCCACAGGCUACUAGACGCAACAAUAGAAUUACCAUAUUGUUUUUCCUGGUUUGAAAGGACCAGAUGGAAAGAAACUGGGCAAGCCAAUGAAAGUCUCUGGGGAUCAUGGGAAUUGAGUGUCUAUGAAAACCAUAUUCCAGACAAGAAUAUAGUCUAAGGUUUAUGGGACUCCCCAGUACUCUCCAUGUAGAGUCUAAUGUAGAAUCCAGGAGUGCACAGAAAAGUCACUGGAUGACACAGCAAGAGGCAACAUUUUGGAAGCAGAGGGCAACUCUCACUGGAAACCAAAUCUCCUGGCACCUUGAUCUUGGAUUUUACAGCCUCCAGAACUGAUAGCUGGGAGGCAUUACAUAGUCAUGUGCGAGGUCAAAACUGAGUCACCACCACAACCAAGUUCCAGCUGGCAAGAAGAGGAAAAAUAACACAGAGGAGUUAUGACCAGUGUUGUAAGGAUCUGGCCUAGAAAUGGCAUGCAUCUCUUCCACUAAUAUCCUAUUGGUAAAAAUGUAGUCACAUGGGCACACCACCUAUCUGCAUGGAAGGCUGGGAAAUGUUGAUCGGUAGGGCAGCCAUAUGUGUAGGAAGGAGAAAACAGAAUUUGGUGGAUACCUAGUAGUCUCUGCCAUACCCUUGACCAGAAAUUUUUCUUCUAAAGAAUUUAAUUCUAAAAGUUAUAGACAUUCCCAAAGAUAUACCUGCAAGCAUCACAGCUUUGUGUAUAAUUGCAAAAGUUGAAAUCAACAUGAAUGCCCAAAAUAGUGAAUUAUUUAAACAGAUUAUUACCCAUAUUAUGAAGAAAUACUCUGCAACUCUUAAAAAUAAAUGUAAUGUGCCAGGCGCAAUGGGAUAUGCCUGCAGGCCCAGCUACACGGGAGGCCAAGGCAGGAGGAUCACUUGAAAUCAAGAGUUCAAGUCUAGCCUAGACAACAUAGUGAGACUUGGUCUCUAAAAAAGAAAAAAAAAAAUAAAACUGAUGUAAUGAAUAUAUAAUUACAACAAAAGAGGUCUAACACUAUAGUAGAAAAGUUUGGGGCACUCAUCCCAUUCAUAAUUAUUUUACAUUUAAAUUACUGUUCCUACUUAAGUGGUGAGCUUGGUAACCAUUUUCAUAUCAGGUGAUACUGCUGCAGUAAUCAUAGCUGUUUGAAUCAGGAAUAAUCCCAAUCACAUUUUCUCUUAAUCGUUUAUUAUACUGGGCAUUGGGGUUGCAAGAUAAUGCACAGUCCGAGCUCAAUACAUGUCUUCAUGUACCUGUAUGUAAAUCCCACUUUUAUUCUAAAAUUCUUUGAAUAUUUUGUUUCUUGGAACCCAAUGAUCCUAAGAAAAUUAUGUACUUUUACCUGAAAAUUAAAACCAAUAUUUAUAAAAAGUGUAUAUGCAGUAUGAUACCACUUUUAAAAAAAGAUAAAUUUAUAGAAAAAAGUUUAUAUGACUGACAACAAUGUCUCUGAGUGGUAGGAUUACAGUUAAUUUUUAUUUUCUUCAUUCUACUUAUCUUUAUUUUCUGAACUUUCUACAAUGAACAUGUUUUAUUUUUACUUUUGUUAAAAUAAAUAACAUUUAAUUUGACGGAAAAUUCUAAAAAUCAACAUUUGGUAACUUAAAUAUUCAUUGGCACAUGAUUCUGUGCCUGUUUCUGGGGGUCAUUCCCAUGAGAAGAGCAGGUAGAACUUAUGAGAAUAGAGCAGUCGAAAUAUUAUAGGUUUCAUAUUUUACGGCUUUAUUGAAAACAUUGAUAUAUUGAAUAUUCAUAAAUUUUAAUUUAACUUUCUUUUAUAAUCCUUAAUGUGAGGCUAAGGUAUAAGGAGAAAGGAGAUUGGUAAGGAAGUGUGAUACAUAUUGAAUCAGGUGUCAAGGUACCAUUUGUGCCUGGAUCUGACCAAUAGACCAAGGUAAAAAUCUCAAAGAAUGAGACUUGUAAUGAGAAUGCCACAAACUUGAAUACCUUAUGCACAAAACACAAACAUUGUUAUGCAUAAUGUACAUGAACCCUGAAACAAAGAUAAUGAUUUGGACCACCCAACUGAAGUGGCAUGUUAUGUUUUUGGCAUGAACAAAAGAAACAAGAGAGAAAAAAAUCAAAAUAAUUAAAAUAAAUUGUUAGAGAAAAGUUACUUUAAAAAUAGCUAUAACGCUUUGCAAUUUCAGUAACAGUUCUGCCUCUGAUGCAAUGUAAAACAUGUAUUAGACAUUCAGGCUCCACAAUAAAUUUUAAUGAGCACUACAAAUUUAGAAUAUAUAAAAAUAUCAGUAACCUAUGAAUUCAUCAACAUAACUCACUUUUCAGUUAAGUUAGGCUGAGUUGAAAUUCUACUAAGUUUUCCCAUAUUCUUGAUAAAGGCUAAAUUUGAAAUAAUUUAUUUAGAUGACUAAUUGGCAAUUUGAUAGUAGUUACAUUUUAUGUAACACUUGAUAUAAUAACCCAAAUUAAUUAGCUCAAUAUUAUCUUCUGUGGUUUAUUGAUCCAAAAGUACAUAUUUGUUAUGUAAACUUAUACUAUGUAAACUUGAAUUAGUUUUUUGCUUCCUUGAAUUAAUAAAGCCCAUUAAUGCAAAUCUAAGCCUUCAUAGACUUUUCCAAUCCUUAGUUAAAUAUUAAAAACUGAGUAUUGUAGUUAUUUGCUAGGUAUAAAAGGUGACUCAGAGUAGAGAGUAAGAUGUCAGCAAAUAGACAAUAAGAUGUCAGCAAAAGUGCCUCAAAUUUUAACUGCGUCAAGUUAAGGGCAUUGUAAAUACUGUAGUUUUAUGUAGCUUGCAACUUCUACUGAAAUGAGUUUAAUCAUGUCUUUCACAUAGCUGAAGUUUGUGUCAAGAUUUAAGCUGAUUUUCUCAUUCUUAUCAAAGUCUCACCUGGGGGUAGGGAGGGGUAGGCCUACCUCCCACCUCUAUACUAUCAUUUUAGGAACAGACAGGCAUAAAUCUGUUCAUAUGGUAGAACACAUGAUGUUAGAGUAUAUUUUGUUGAAUGCUAUGGAAUAUUAAUAUAAUUAAUUCUAAAAUAUCACCUAAAAUAUGUCAACUGAAGAUCUGACUGUACUAAAUAUGAAAAAUAAAGC
ensembl:lncRNA WDFY3-AS2 WDFY3 antisense RNA 2